GAUGAACGCUGGCGGCGUGCCUAAUACAUGCAAGUCUAGCGAACAGACGAGGAGCUUGCUCCUCUGACGUCAGCGGCGGACGGGUGAGUAACACGUGGAUAACCUACCUAUAAGACUGGGAUAACUUCGGGAAACCGGAGCUAAUACCGGAUAAUAUAUUGAACCGCAUGGUUCAAUAGUGAAAGACGGUUUUGCUGUCACUUAUAGAUGGAUCCGCGCCGCAUUAGCUAGUUGGUAAGGUAACGGCUUACCAAGGCAACGAUGCGUAGCCGACCUGAGAGGGUGAUCGGCCACACUGGAACUGAGACACGGUCCAGACUCCUACGGGAGGCAGCAGUAGGGAAUCUUCCGCAAUGGGCGAAAGCCUGACGGAGCAACGCCGCGUGAGUGAUGAAGGUCUUCGGAUCGUAAAACUCUGUUAUUAGGGAAGAACAAAUGUGUAAGUAACUAUGCACGUCUUGACGGUACCUAAUCAGAAAGCCACGGCUAACUACGUG
rnacentral:rRNA from 1 species